rnacentral:tRNA from 1 species
GGGGUUGUGGCUCAGUGGUAGAGCGCUCACCUAGCAUGUGCGAAGCACUGAGCUCAAUCCUCAGCACCA